CCUGGUCAGCCCUGGGAGCACAGGUGAGGGCAAUUCAGCUGUGUGACCAGAAGGGCUGGAGCCUGGCUGCACCUCUCUUAGACCCCAUUUAAGGGCUGACUGCCACUGGGGAAGGUUCUCUUCCUGGAGAUCCCUCCUCGGUGAAGCUUUCUCAUGUGAACCUAGAAUCUUCUGGUACAGAGGAACAGACUUGCCCUUGUGGUCUGGAAGGUCAGGCACGUGCUGGCUGCCUGUUGAUGGGGAUGGGAGCAGAGCAGCAGGCUGGAGGAGCUGCUUCACACUGUGCCACGUCCACCUGCCUUGAGGAUCACUCUUCACAGAACCACAGCACGGCUGAGAUUGGCAGGGAGCUCUGGGUCCACCUGGUCCAACUGCCUGGUCAAACAGGAUCACCCAGAGCAGGGGGCCCAGGAGAUACAAGGACAACGUGUGUGCUAAAUAUUGACCUGCUCCCCAUGGAAAUUACAUCUUUGUCAUAACUGAAAAGCAGAGGAAUGUUUUAGGGUCUCUGAAUUUAACACUUGGGUUAAUAAUUAAGGCAGUGGGAAUGGUGGGUUCUUUGCUCUAUCUCCAGCCUUAAUCUUUAAAAAACAAACUUCUUUAUGGUGCUCUUCCUGAUUGUGGCAGAACUUAUCCUUGAAAUGAUAGGGGCUUUUAUUUGCCCUUCUAUUGUGAAUAAGUUUAGUCAAAAGGUCCUAUUCUAAUUUGUACAUAUUCUUGUCUGACAUAUGAUAUACUCAUUCUUUUUAUACACUCAGGUAAUUUUUUGCUUUGUGUUUAGCAUGAUCUUACAGAAUCAGGUUUUGUGACUGGCUCUCAGCAGAUUCAGUGCUCUGCAGCUUGAAGUGUCAGAUUGUGGGUGGUCCAUUUCAUUUGAGGUAUUUUGAGCCAAAUGUGAAUAGAAAACAGCUUUUGUUCUGCAAUUUUGGACUUUACCCUCAAAUACCUAUCGGACUGUAAUCGUCCACACAUCACCCACUGCCAAUAAAUAACCCAUUUUAUUAUCCAAGUCUCUAGAUGCAGAAGAACACUUUUGCUGAAUUCAGCUAGAGGCAGCAAUAUAGUAGGUUGUCCUUCUUUUUUCCAUUUGAAAAUGAGUAAGGUAUUUUGGUAGAGUGGCAGUGAUGUGAUUAUUUCUUCUGCUAAAUAAGAACACUGAUGCUGAAUUUAAAAAUAAUAAUAAUAAAAAAGGGAGUCCAAUUUUUUAUGUGCUGUAUAAUGAUAUAAAGGAAAGCAGAAUCUUGUCAGCAGAGUUUUUCAUGCAUACGAAGCCAGAGUAUAUGUGCAGUACAGGGGUUAAGAAGGCACUGUUUGAUAACCACAGUGAUACAGUUUUACAUGAGCCCUGAGGAAUCUUGGUCAAAUCCUAGGCGGCAUGGGCAAGGUGUAGAGGAGCUUAAAAUAUUUCUAUUUUAUGAAAAUAUUUCUAUUUGCUCUGAAAGCUCAUAAUCUAGGUGUCAGGUAAAGCCUAAGAGGUGGAUGAAAGAAGUAGGCAGAGUAGACAAAGCUGACAGAUGACUUAGAGCUGCACUGUGCACAACUUAGCAGAACAGCAGAUGUUUUAACCAGCAUUUUCCCCAAAUCAAAGUUCAACAUGGUAAUACAUAGCACAGCUAAGAUUAAAGAGGGAAUAUAGAAGAGUAUAAAUUUGAAUUUAGCCUUCUAGUUCCUCUCACCUUGUUCAAAUAUUUAGAAAGUGCUUGCAGUCCCAACUACUUGAAUUCCCAGAGUGAUAGCAGGGUAGUCCACACUGCUCCUGAUUUGAAAGGAUUCGAGUGGAUCCAGUCAAAAGUUUUCCCUCCCUGUGGGCUUUUCUAUUACUUUUAUGAUACAUCAGAGUUAUACUUAUGAUGCUAUUCCCUUUCGCAUAAUCUCACAGCUCUUAUUUGUGGCUCCCAGGAGAGCCCUUAAAACACAGAUGAAGGGCACUGGGUUAAAUCUCAUUUUACUGGGCAACCUGCUUUGUAUCAUUUUCCUUUUAUCUUUUUAUUUGUAUUUUUUGGAAUGUUGUACACAAACAAAUGUUGUUCUGGAUUGAAGGCUAUCUCAUGCUUAAAGACUGUGACUCUGUUAGCCUGCAUUAGUCAGCCUCUGGAUUCCUAUUUGAGCUUCUUCUAUUGAUUUAUUGCGUGACCUUAGACAAGUAGCUAAUAUCUUUCUGUCUCAGUCUGUUCUCCUUCUUAUUGAAAGCCUCUCCCAAAAGAUCUACUCUUCAUAAAGGAAAAUCCCAAGAAAUAAUGUUUAAAGCAAAUUUCUUGGCUACGUUAAGGGAGGUUGAAGUCAAGGGUCAUGGGACCUGUUGUGUGCCUGGCACAGAGUUGACCCGUGCAUCCGCAGAGGUUAAUGUGUCACGUGUUCAGGGUGACCUGGUGGCAGGCACAUGCAGUACUCGGAUCCUUGGACACUUAACAUAGCCCUAAAAUGAGGGAUCUUUGGGUCUGCCCUCUAGGGCACACCUUCUGGUUCCCUCUCACAAGCAUAUAGAAUAAUGCUAGGUUAUUCUUCAUGUAGAUGAGGGGUGAUAGAUCAACUUGUAGCUCAGGGACAGCUGUUGUAAAGCCAGGUUUUCCCCUUGCUACAAACCUUUUCAUAAAACAAACAAACAAAAAGCUCUAAUUGCGAGAAAAAAUCAUUGGUUUUUUGAUAGCUAGUCUAAAAUGAUGUGCUGUCAAAUGAAACAUGCCUUUGCAGGCCAACAGCAGGUGUGAUUGCUUACCUCUGACUUGUGCAUGUAAGAGCAAUGUUCAUCAAUAAACAUCUGUCAACUGGACUUGAGCUGAUCUUGCUGCUUUUGGGACGUGGAAGGCAGAUAUGCAGCAAUGAAGCAGAUCCCCCAUGUAGCGUUGCGCAUUGCACGUGAGCUCCUUGCAUGCAGCAUGCCCAGUUGCUCCAGCAGGCUUUGUACAAAAUCCGUCAGCUGCUGUAAAACUGGUGGAAACAUUCUGUCAGAGCAAUCUCUGCCAUUAAAAAUAGAUGACGUUUUUUCUUCACUGUGUACUUAAAGUGGUUGUGUGGUAGUAGAC